AACACUGACAGGUCACGUUAAAGAUUACAAAAUACUAAAAGUGCAACUCGCUGCACUUUAUUAUCGCGUGGAUAACAAGUUAACAACAGUCUCAACACUCAACAGCAAGACAGAAGGGUUGCAGGAAAGCCAGAGCCUAUCCCAGCUGACUAUGGGCGAGAGGCGGGGUACACCCUGGACAAGUCGCCAGGUCAUCGCAGGGCUGACACAUCGAGACAAACAACCAUUCACACUCACACCUAUGGCUCAAACCCAGGAUCUUCUUGCUGUGAGGAAAUCUUUCGGUGGAGAGGGUGGAGACCUCGACUGGCUAUCGUAGCCUGCAGGGACUCAGCCGUCAGACAUUCUGUCGCAUGUCUGAGACCUGGUGAAAUGUAACUGAAUUGUCUUGGCCAGCCCUAAGGGUCCCAUCUGCAUCCGAUCAUUGCUGAGGAGUGUGCUCCCAUCACCCAAUCAAGCAUCCAGCCAGAGCAGGUCAUGAUAUUUUUUAACCAUAUUAACAGGCCACUGUUGUGUAUUAUGCCUGAUGUCAAGACUCUCGUCUCUGCAAGCCUACCACACAGAUUUAAUACUUGUGUCAUUUUUAGGGCAUACCUAACAACCUGUGUUUCCCCCCCCCCAAUCUGUCCCUCUGAGUUACAUGUUGAUCCUGGGAUUGAGAUGCUGGCCUCUUCUGCCCCUCGGACCUGCUUGAUCCAUCCUGGUGCCCUGUGUCUGGUUGGAGUUUUAUCACAUCGCUCCUGUGAAGGACGGCCCCAUAAGGACAGUUGAGGGUUACACUUGGAGGAUGCUCUGGACUCUUACAGUAAUGCUUUUAUGGCUGAGGACUACAGUUAACUUGCUAACUUUAGGACUGCAGUUGUCAUGAACAGUUUUGCACUCAAGUUUCCAUCAAUGAAGAGUUAUAACAUCAAUGAAACUGUCUUCAUGUUAAAACUGUUAAUGUUAUAGUCAUGCUGUCUGUUGUUGCCCAAAUGAGGAUGGGUUCCCUUUUGAGUCUGGUUCCUCUCGAGGUUUCUUCCUCAUGUCGUCUGAGGGAGUUUUUCCUUGCCACCGUCGCCCAGAGGUGGAAAAACCCGGGUGCAGAAAGUAAAAACCCUGCCACAUUUUUGCUCCAGCCAAUUCAAUGAACCAGCUGAUCCUAAUUACCACAUCCCCUAAGCCAGGUUGAUGAGCUAAUUGGUGAAAUAACCUGUGUUGAGAGCACAGGCAGAAGGAAAACCUAAGCAGGACUUUUACUUUGUCAAUCCAGUUUUUCCACCUCUGCCGUCGCCACAGGCUUGCUCAUUGGGGAUAGAUUAGGGACAAAAUUAGGUCAUGUUUUAAGUCGUUCAAAUUCUGUA